GUAGGGUGCGAGCGCUAAUCGGAAUUACUGGGCGUAAAGCGUGCGCAGGCGGUUUUGUAAGCCAGAUGUGAAAGCCCCCGGGCUUAACCUGGGAAUGGCAUUUGGGACUGCAAGGCUUGAGUGCGGCAGAGGAGACUGGAAUUCCUGGUGUAGCAGUGAAAUGCGUAGAUAUCAGGAGGAAUACCGAUGGCGAAGGCAGGUCUCUGGGCUGACACUGACGCUCAUGCACGAAAGCGUGGGGAGCAAACAGGAUUAGAUACCCUGGUAGUCCACGCCCUAAACGAUGUCGACUGGUUGUUGGGGGUUUGACACUCUCAGUAACGAAGCUAACGCGUGAAGUCGACCGCCUGGGGAGUACGGCCGCAAGGUUA
rnacentral:rRNA from 1 species